UCUAUAUCCAUAUGUGCUCCCUGCGGUACUCUCUCACAAUGACUGGCACACUAGUAGGUGGGAGCUGCGACAGCAGGACAAAACAUCAAUUCAAUGGACCAAAUGAGACAGCCAUCUUAAAUGAUGAACAAAACAUUGUAGAUUUUCAUUAUAAGUACAGUUUUUAAGGUGGCACAAAUCUUCCCUCUCAGGAACUCUUGAAAUAACAUCUGGAUCACCUGAGUAAACAUAGCAUAUAGAAUCAAGUUGAACCCUCUCAUGCAAUUUAUACGCCUCACAGCACACUAAAACAGGCACUCCAAAGGCAUGAGCAACCAUUGCUACAGCUGCUGUCCCAACGCUGGAGUAAACUGCUCCAUUUGACAAUAUCGAAGAGGCACCCAAAAAAACCCUUGUGACCUCAUGCAUGAUGUAUGAGAUGGCAUUAAUGUGCGUAUAUGUGCAACUGAUGCCCUUUGCAACUAAUCUGUGCAAUAGUGCUUGUCCCUCGUUGUUCGGACGAGAAUCUACCACAACAACACGAAACUUCUUUCCAAGCUCAUUAGCAUGAUCAAAAAUCAUUUCAACAACAGAGGAUGAUGCGUAUGUCAGUAAUACAUCAUCAUCUCUGACUUUGGCUAUUGCAUGGCUAACAAUGACAUGGUCUGCAAUUAUUAUCUUCUCAUUUAUAAACCGAUCAAUGUCAGACUGUAGGCUAGCUUUAGCUUCUGACUCAGACAAUGUAAGCAAUAGCUUGGCAAUUCUGUUCUUCAAAAACCUAAUAGCAUUGCCCAUGCUGAUUGAAAGAGGCUUGCACUCGAUGAGAAAUGACACGUAGCUACUGAUUUUAGCAGUAAGAUCUCGGUUGAGAGUUUUGGUGGAAGGUGUAGAGUAAUCUUUUAUGGCCUCUCUGAAAGCAAGAAGCAUUGCUACGCAACAAGCAUUGCCACCUGAUAUAACACCAGACAAAAAUUGAAGUCCAACCUGAAACACAGAAGGAUGCAUUAGAUCAAGAUGAAAAAAUUUUGACUCGAGGUCAGGAAGCUGAGUUCCAUGUACAUAUUGAGGCAGAUGCCUGAACAAUUCGACUCUGUUUUGUGCUUCUGCUUGGUUGACCAGUGAAUGCUUCUUUGUUUUCUCCACCCGAUGUACAUUAUCAAACUGCAUACGAGGGGGAGGAACAUCUUUCUUUCUAUCUCUGUCAGGAGGGUGCUCACUAGUCUUCUUUUCAGAAGCAACUGGAGGUGUAAGUUGGGGCAGAUCUUUCUUGGGAGGUGUCUUUACAGUUUUGAGUUGUUUUGACAUUGCAGCAUUAGAAGUAGAAACUGUGGCUACAGAUUUUCUUGAUAAACCUGCCUCCUUUGCAGAAGCUUUGGCUGCACGCUGAGCUUCCUGAAUAGCACGUCUCUCUGCUUUAGAAAGCUUCUGUUUUUGUUGAACUGGGGCUGGAGCUGGAGCACCUUCAUUCUGUGUAUCAGGAAGACCUUCCUUUGAUUCUACCGCGCCCACGAGACGUCAACGUCGUCGUCGUCGUCGUCGUCGAGGUCGGAUUCUGCGGCGUCGAGGCGGGAUGACGAAGGCGGCGGCGGGGAGGAGGGCAGGAGCGAGACGGGGGCGGGAGAAAGGGCGGUGAGGUGGUCGGGGAUGCGCGGGGGCGGGAUCAUCACGGGGGAGAGCGACCCCGGGUAGACGUCGGAGCCACGCGGGGAGGAGGAAGACGACGCCGCCGCCGCGGCGGGCUCGGCAGUGGUGGUGACGAAGCCGACCUGCCGGUACCUCGGCUCCACUCCCCCCGACGAGGAGCGCGUCGUCGGCCGCCGCAGAUCCAUCCCGGCGUCCACGGCGGCG
rnacentral:sRNA from 1 species